rnacentral:rRNA from 1 species
ACGGCCCACCAAGACGACGAUCAGUAGCCGACCUGAGAGGGUGACCGGCCACAUUGGGACUGAGACACGGCCCAAACUCCUACGGGAGGCAGCAGUGGGGAAUAUUGCGCAAUGGAGGAAACCCUGAUGCAGCGACGCCGCGUGAGCAAAGAAGUAUCUCGGUAUGUAAAGCUCUAUCAGCAGGGAAGAAGAUGACGGUACCUGACUAAGAAGCACCGGCUAAAUAC